AUACCAAAGUAAGAGUUAUUGCUUUAAAAUAAGAUCCUUUCUGUCUACAGAUCAGCCUGGAAUAUGAAGAAAUCUACACCAAAAAUGGAUGUCUGUGUUCUGUCUUGUUCCAGCUCUGACCUGGUAUUGGUCCUAAGGCAGAAGUAGCGCUCUUU
rnacentral:lncRNA from 1 species